GGCCCGCGUUUGGAGAUGUCUCAAAAAAACUAGAGCUUAUUAUUUGGAUAUGAAAAUUUAAUUUUCGACAAUGCUACAAGAUACUAAAGGAUUGGAUUCUAAGUCUCGGUUUGAAUCCUAAAUUGCCUCGAAUAACAUAUGUGAUUAAUAUGAAAGAAUAUCGAGAGGCUUUUAACAGCAAAACAAGGAAUAAAUGAAAGGUGGAAUAAUACAUACUGAAUGGGCUACAAUGGAAUUAAGACAAAUUGUGAAUAUUGAGAAUGAAGAUGUUGGAAGUAUCUCGAUAAAAAAAAAUAUCAAAGCUUAAUAAUGCUCAACUAUAAUUCUAUUAGUUAUGUU